rnacentral:rRNA from 1 species
CGGUAAUUCCAGCUCCAAUAGCGUAUACUAAAGUUGUUGCAGUUAAAAAGCUCGUAGUUGGAUUUCUGCGGGGACGGAGCGGCCGGUCGCAACUUGCGACUCGAGCUAGCGCUUUCCCCGCAUCCUGCCGCGAACCGUGCUACCAUUAGUUUGGUGGCGCUGGGGAUCGGCUCGAUUACUUUGAGAAAAAUAGAGUGUUCAAAGCAGGCCACACGCCUUGAAUAAGUUAGCAUGGAAUAAUGACUAAGGACUUUGGUUCUUUUCGUUGGUGUUCGGGACUGAAGUAAUGAUUGAUAGGGACAGUUGGGGCGGUCCGUAUUCCAAAGCGAGAGGUGAAAUUCUUAGACCUUCGGAAGACGAACAGCUGCGAAAGCGUUCCGCAAGGAUGUUCCCUUUGAUCAAGAACGAAAGUUGGGGGAUCGAAGACGAUCAGAUACCGUCGUAGUCUCAACUAUAAACUAUACCAGCUAGGGAUCGGCCAACGUUUAAUUAUUCGACUUGGUCGGCACCUUAUGAGAAAUCAAAGCAUCUGGGUUCCGGGGGGAGUAUGGUCGCAAGGCUGAAACUUAAAGGAAUUGACGGAAGGGCACCACCAGGCGUGGAGCCUGUGGCUUAAUUUGACUCAACACGGGAAAACUUACCAGGUCCAGACAUAGGAAGGAUUGACAGAUUGAUAGCUCUUUCUUGAUUCUGUGGGUGGUGGUGCAUGGCCGUUUUUAGUCGGUGAAGUGAUUUGUCUGCUUAAUUGCGUUAACGGACGAGACCCCAGCCUGCUAAAUAGCGCGGCCGAGCUUUGCUCGGUACGAGCUUCUUAGAGGGACCAUGAUGCGCGAUAGCACAAGGAAGUUUGGGGCAACAACAGGUCUGUGAUGCCCUUAGAUGUUCUGGGCCGCACACGGGCUACACUGGCGCCUGCAACGAGCAUAUCAGCUGGCCCGAGAGGGUCUUGGCUAAUCUUUGGAACCGGCGCCGUGCUUGGGGUUGACCAUUGCAAUUGUUGGUCAUGCAACGAGGAAUGCCUUGUAAACGCGAGUCAUCAGCUCGCAUUGAAUACGUCCCUGCCCUUUGUACACACCGCCCGUCGCUCCUACCGAUGAAUGUUCCGAUGAAAUUUUCGGAGAGCGCCGGAGAACGGGGCUCUGCCCUGCAGAACUGGAGGCUCAAAGUCACUUAAAUCUGAACAUUUCGAGGAAGGAGAAGUCGUAACAAGGUAGCCG